rnacentral:lncRNA from 1 species
UUUAAGCACGGAGUUCAUUUUUUUUUUGAAAAGGGGUGCAACCCCAGCCUCUGCAUCAAUAAGAUGCAUACGGCUCAUAAUAUUAAAAUAGAGAGUGUCACAAAGUCUUCAGCAGGUUUAAAGUAAAAAAGACGACAAGCCGCUCAGACGAGCGUAAACAUAAAGCCACAACCGGCUGGCAAAAAAUAGGAGCACUACAUGCCUAUCCUAUUACAUGACCGCCAUCCAAACCGGUUGAAAAUAACCCGAGCUACCAUCUCCCAUCGGGUAGACGCAGUAGCCAAAUGCCCCCUGUCCUCCAUCGGAGUGAGUAGCGACCACAUACGGAUCAACGCUGUGGCCCUGAAGAUAACCUGCAAAAAAUGAAAGUCCGUUGCUCUGUUAAAAACCAAAUCAUUUCUGCAGUUCCAUACUGCCCAUAACAAGGCACACGCGCCAACACGAAUGAGUCUUGCUAAAACCAAGUCUACCCCAUCAAGCCAUGUUCCAAACAACAUAUUGAUAGAAGUAGGUGGAAUAAUAUUGAAGGCAAUAUGAAUCGAACGCCAAAGAAGCUUAGCCAGUGGACAAUCCAGAAAGAGGUGCCUGAUAGUUUCAUUACAAUCGCAGAAACUACAUCUAGCAGAACCCACCCAAUUGCGUUUUGCCAGAUUAUCCUUUGUCAAAAUUACUUUUUUAUGCACAAACCACAUAAACACUUUAAUUCGCAAAGGUACCUUAACUUUCCAGACAUGUCUGGAGCAAGGAAUGACACUAGUAUUAAUGACAUCCAGAUACAUGGAUUUAACCGAGAACCUACCAUCCUUUGUCAAUUUCCAAAACAACCUAUCUGGAUCCUGAGACAGUUGGACAUCCAUCAGCCGUCGUACAAGAUGAAGCCAUGCCUCCCAUCGUUCACCCACUAGUGUCCUCCGGAAGCUAAUAUUGAGAGGCGUUGACUGUAAGACAUUUGCAACGUAUACUUCUCGACGUUGAACAAUGUUAUACAGUAUGGGAUAUUGACGUGCCAGAGGUGUUUCUCCUAGCCACGUAUCCUCCCAGAACCUCGUAGUAGCUCCAUCACCAACUAAGAUUUUGGUCCUGUUAAAGAAGAGGGGCUUGACUCUCAUCAACCCUUUCCAAAACGGUGAAUCAGUUGGGCGCACCGUCACCUGAGCUAAAGUUUUUGACUGAAGAUACUUAUUACGCAGAAUUUGUGCCCAAGUAGCCUCUGUCUCGGAUGAAAGUUUAAAAAGCCACUUGCUAAGGAGACAUCUAUUCUUGAUCUCUAGAUUUUCAAUGCCUAGACCGCCUUGGUCCUUGGGCCUACAGAUGAUGUCCCAUUUGGCAAGCCUAUACUUACGUUUCAACUCAUCGUUUUGCCAAAAAAACCGGGAUCGAUAAAAGUCUAAUCUCUUCCUAACCCCCACCGGGAUCUCAAAGAAGGAUAGAAGAAACAUAGGCAUACUUGUGAGAACCGAAUUAAUCAAAAUUAAUCGACCUCCAUAUGACAUGAGCUUCCCUUUCCAACAGCUUAGUUUCUUUUCAAAACGAUCCUCAAUACACUUCCACUCCUUGUUCGUAAGCUUACGAUGAUGAAUGGGAAUGCCCAAGUAAGUAAACGGUAGUGAACCCAACUCGCAUCCGAACAAUUGCUUAUACGCAACCUGGUCCUCAGUAGCUCUUCCAAAGCAAAACAAUUCGCUCUUGUGGAAGUUAAUCUUGAGUCCAGACAAUUGUUCAAAUAAGCACAGCACAAGCUUCAUAUUCCUAGCUUUCACCAAGUCAUGCUCCAUAAAGAUGAUCGUAUCAUCAGCAUACUGCAAAAUGGAUAUACCUCCAUCAACUAGGUGCGGAACCAAGCCCGAAACCUGCCCCGCCUCCUUGGCCCGGCCUAUUAAAAUAGAUAGCAUAUCAGCUACUAUGUUAAAUAAGAUCGGUGACAUUGGAUCCCCCUGUCUUAGGCCUUUAUGUGUCUGGAAAUAGUGACCUAUAUCGUCAUUCACUUUAAUCCCUACACUCCCUUUUUGCGUAAAGGAAUCAAUUUGGUCGCGCCAUGCCUUGUCGAAUCCUUUCAUACGCAACGCCUGAUGAAGGAAAGGCCAUUUGACUUUAUCGUAUGCUUUUUCUAAAUCCACUUUAAAAACCACCCCAUCAAGUUUUUUUGAGUGAAUUUCGUGGAGCGUUUCAUGCAAGACGACCACCCCUUCAAGGAUAUUUCUAUCCGGCAUGAAAGCAGUCUGGGACGGUUGCACCACCGUAUGCGCUAUCUGCGUGAGUCGGUUCGUCCCAACCUUAGUGAAAAUUUUGAAACUUACAUUAAGCAAACAAAUGGGUCUGAACUGCUCAAUGCGAAUAGCCUCUGUCUUCUUAGGAAGAAGAGUUAUUGUUCCAAAAUUAAGCUUGAAUAAAUGAAGCUGACCAUUAAACAAUUCAUGAAACAUGAGCAACAGGUCAUGUUUAAUGAAAUGCCAGCACUUUUUGUAGAACUCCGCCGGAAACCCAUCUGGUCCUGGCGCUUUAUUAUUAUUCAUUUGUGCAAUGGCCUCAUACACCUCCUUCUCCGUGAACGGGGCAGUCAAAAUCUCAUUCUCUUCCGUCUGAAGUUGGGGAACAUCCUCAACUCUUGACUCAUCCAAAGACACAAAACUCCGUUCCGGAGGUCCAAAUAACUGCUUAUAGUAGUUGGUAAUGUAAACUUUCAGGUUUUCCUGACCAACUAUCGUUCCUUCAUCUUGUUCUAAUUGAAAAAUUCUCUUCUUACGAUGCUUUCCGUUAGCAAUCAUAUGAAAGAAUUGGGUAUUAUCCUCACCUUGGACAACCUUGCGAACCUUAGCUCUGAGAGCCCACUUCAAUUCCUCCUCACGGAGAAGCGCUUUCAGCCUUAGCUCGGCCUCCAAUUUAGACUCCAACUCUCUGUUAUCUAAAAGAGAGGUUUCAGCUUUUAACUCUAGGGUGUGAAUCAUCAUAAGGAGCCUUUCCUUCUCCGCCUUAUAAAUUCUGUUCGUAUGCUUAGCCCAUCCACGAAGGAACCUUCGCAGAUGACGAAUCUUGCAUUGCCACCGCUCCAUGGGUGACCUUCCCCCCGAGUCUUUAGCCCACUCUCUAGCCAACAGAUCGAUAAAUCCUUCUCUUUCAAACCAAGCAAGUUUGAAAGAGAAAAUAUUCUUAUUACCCAAAUGAGUUGGGGCCCCUGAGUCCACUAAUAGCGGUGUGUGAUCCGAGAUACCUCGUGUCAACGCCUGCACCGUUACCAGAGGAAACUUCUGUUCCCACUCAACACUUGCCAGAACACGGUCCAACUUCUCAAACGUCGGAACCGGUAAUGAGUUUGCCCAAGUGAAUUUCCUACCCGAAAGCUCUAUCUCUCUGAGGUCCAAGCUCUCUAUGAUAGUAUUGAACAUAAAGGACCAUCUGCCGUCAAAGUUGUCAUUAUUCUUUUCUUCCUUAAGUUCGGGUUGCGCAGCCCCAUAGACUGCCACCAAAGCCCAAUCAAAACCAUCAGCUUUCGUUCUUUCCCUAAACUUAACCGCAAAUUCACCCAUCACUACACUCCGAACCUCCAACGUAUCGCACUUAACCCCGAGUAGAACCCCACCGGAUCUUCCUCGAGGUGGGAGACAAUGCCAAUCAAAGUCUACCCCCCCUGCUAAGGUGCUAAGAAAUUGUGCUGAAAAAUUACCUCGUCCAGUUUCGGACAAAGCAAUAAAGUCUAAGUGAUGUUCAAUAGAAGCUUCUGCUAGAAAACGUCUUUUAGCCAAGUCUUUAAGACCUCUGCUGUUCCAAAAAAUGCCUUUCAUAAUUCAUCAUGAAAUUUUUUGGAGGUACGGAUCCUAGCACUUCUACGCACAGCCGACACCGGAUAAACCUUACGUUUCCAGGUCCUCUUAGGCUUAACCCCACCAUCAAUAGAUUCAACACACUCGGAAAGAGGCUCUACGGCCACAGGCACCACCUCUAGGUUUGUGGUUACCGGAGAGGUAUACUCAUCCUCCUCCUCCGUCACCUGGACCGCAGGAUCAAGAUCAGCACACAAGCUAUCAAGAACCCUAACCCCUAGCUUGUCAAUCUCCGACUCAUUCAUCGGUUUUACUGCAGCUAUGUUACGAAUCAAUUCUAACGCACGUUCAGCUUCCAAGUCUAGCAUCUCAUUAACCGAUUUAGAGAUCUCUAGAUCAUCGUUACCAAGAGACACUCCUAUUUGGUUUGCAUUAUGAACAAUCUCUUCAUUGGUAAAAUGCAUAAUAGAAUUAGACUUAUUGACUGACAUACCAGUUGUAGUCUCGACGUCCCGCAGCUUGGCCGCUCUCAAUGCGCACCUCAGCUGCAUGUCAUCAACAUCGGAGUGCUCCUGUAGUCUCCCGCUGACCCGUCUCCCUACAGAGACCGGGUCCGGGAUCCCACCGAACGCGAUGACCUCGUCGCGCGAAGUAGCGGUAGGGGAAGAGCCUCCUGCCCGUCCCACAGCCGCAGUGGCCAUCACCGAGGCCACCGGAGCAGCCACCAGAGAUGCCGAAUCCUCCAACUCGCGGACCUCCUCGCGCGAAGUAGCGCUAGGGGAAGAGCCUCCUGCCCGUCCCCCAGCCGCUAAGACCAUCACCGGAGCCGCCGGAGCAGCCACCCGAGAUGACGAAGUAUCCACCUCGCCGAUGCUCGUGCCCAAAGAAAAAGGCGCUGCCGGUUCCGCAGGAAGCGCACCCACCAGGCUGCCUUCCAGUGCCACCGCAGGAGAAAGGGCGGCCUCCUGCGCACCCGUUUCCUUGCCAUCCGGGGACCUCUCCAGUGGGGCCGCGCCGCCCCCAGUCUCCAGCCACAUCAAGGACCCAGAAGGUCUAGCCUCCUGCAAGUCCGCUCGUCCCGCAGCGACCGGCUCCGCCACGAUCGCCAUGGCCGAAGGCGAGCGAGGGACAGACGACGGGGCCUGCUGCCCCACCUCAUCAGUGUGGUCGACCGACCUCCCCACACAUAAUCUAAGUGUUGGACUCGGAGGACCAGCCCUAACACUUGACAAUCUCGGCGGCGCCGAGAAGGCCCCAAGAGAACCCAACUGAAGCGUGGUAGUUGGUACCGUGGAGGACGGCCCAACAGGAGUGGAGUCGGCAUUCUCCGACUGCCCCGACGAUCCCAAAGCCUUAUCCUCAUUACUCUUAGCAUUGUCAUCCCUGGUACCUGAACCCCCACCUCCCUCGGAAGUGUCCAUGGGAUUGUCGUCCUCAAACUCAUUGAAAAGAUCAGGAUCCUCAUAGUGCACGUCCAACUGAUACAGAACGCCUGCGUAAGUCCAAGGCACCACGUCUGGCAAGUACUGAAUAUUGGCGACACUAACUAGCAGCCGUGCGACCCCAUGAGCCCGAGUGAACUGCAUAUCCACCUGCUCGGUCUUACCUAUCAGCGACCCCAGACUCCAUGUCACCAGAAAGCUGUCCAAAGGAUCAGACGGGGCACCAGAGAAACGAACCCAAAUCUGAGUUAAAGGUGUGCCCUGUGGUUCUUUCUUUUUCCACUCAUCGAACGCCAGCACAAAGCUAGUGCCUGUGACCCUGCUCAUACCAAACUUGAGAAUUCUCACCUGAUCCUCCUUAGAAGGGAAGUCCACUUUAUACGAAUUAUCAGAGAGCUUAAGUAAUGACCACUGAAAAUUACCCGGAGCUAGCUCUCUCAACUGCUGAAUAAUCUGUGCUUCGGUCAAAGGCCCGUGGACCACCUUCACAACACCGGGGAAGGAGGUUUCCACUAUGGGCGCGGAAGGUUCCGCAGACGGAGAUUCAAAAAACAUCAACUCGGAGCAACACACCCCGUAUAUCUGGACGGAUGGUUUUGGCCCCAACAUCAGAGGACAGUCAGCCGCUGUGUGAUUAGGCUUCCGGCAAAGAUCACAAAGCUCCGCCGUACACUGGACCAAAAAGUGCCCCGGUUCCCCACACCGGAAACAAGUGAGCUUUUUCUUCUUAGCCGCCCACUUAGACAAUUUGUCACUCUCGACCUUGUCAGAACCGUGCUCGGAAACAGUAUCCUCAGUCUGCAUAGGCUCAGGCAGCGAGACUGAAGCCAAAGCCUGCACCGUCUCCACUGCCACCUGGGGUAACUCUGAUGCACCCUCCGCGACCUCCGUCACUGUAGCCGUCCUAGCAUACCGAGUCUGAUUAAACCUGCGGUUACCGCCCCGACCUCCAUGGAAGCGCCCGCGAAAAGCACGGUUGGGACCGGGAGCUCCCUCGACAAAGUUCCCGGUCGGUCCUUGGAAACCAUUGUUACUUUGUCCCUUGUCCACCCGAGCAUAUCCUCGGUCUCCACCGGUUGAGGAAGAGCCCCUGUGCAACCCAGCACCAUAAGCAUCGUAUCCGUCGUCGCCCCACUGACCGCGCGGUGGGUUUCGAUCAUCUCCCGCCGACGCGCUCGAGCCGUUGCGAGUGGAGUUUUGAGCACCAGAGCCCGGAGCUGCCGCCAUUUGCCUCGGCCAUGGUCUCUGCGUUGUUGUCACCUCGGCCCUGGGAACCGGCACCGGUGGUGGCCGCGGACCGGCAGUAGGCGGAGGUACCGGUCCUCGCGGAGGAGCUGGCGCCCUAGGCAUAAGCGCGGUUCCCCCCCCAGCCGCCGUCUGGGUCGGCGCCCGUAUCGGAGGCGGCGCAGGUCCCCUGGGGGCUGGCGUAACCGCACCUCUGGGCGGCCUCGCACCAGGCGCCGCCCUAGCCAAGACCGGCGCCGGCAGCUCCGCUUAUAAGGACCCAUGUUUUAAAACCAAAAUGUCUACAUGCGUUAAAGUUUUAAAAUUCCUCAAAAUGCCAAAAAAUGGAACAGUUGUAGCAGUGUCGGCAGGACAAUCCAGAUUCUCUAACUUGCUAGAGCGAAUUCAGAGAGCUACCUCUAAAGUGAACAACCCUUAUUGAAUGCUGCAUCAGAAAUGGUACGGUGUAACUAUUUCAUGAUGUGACUUAGCUUAGCUAAGUUAGAAACCUCAAUCCUUCUUUAUAAGGAAAAAAAACCUGUCCCAUGCCAAGAACAAAAGUAGAUAAGCUUUACCUGGCUCCACGCCUACUGAAAAAGAAAGCCUUCCGCAACAAGUCCAGAUCCAAAUCAGGUAGCUGCCUCAUCGAGCGAGCUAGCAAGACUGGAAGGGGCGUUGGAAGGAACACAUGCCAAGUUGCCGGAGGAACAGCGGCGUAGCCAAGUUCAUGCUCACCAAGCUGGUCGUCACCGGCCGGCUACGGCGUCCACGUUAGUUAUAGGUGCUCGCCAUCACUGCCGACUACGGUCUGUGCUCACCGAGCUCGGUGCCGCCACCGACAUACGCCUGGCCGUUGAAGUGCUGUUUGCCAAGCUCCGCUCGAGCUUGCAAUGACCGGAGAACACGAGAAGUGUGGUAAUUUCCAACGGAGAGCGAUGGUUAGCCGCUUGAGAAGAAACUGCAGCGGCAGGGGGUGGGUCUUCUUGGGCCACUUGGGUUAUACUACUAUACCGCUGACCGAGUUGACCAAAACAUCCUCCAUCUCCAUUUCUCAAACUCAUAUGAAUAGUUUAGUUGAAUACACACACGGGAGAGAGAGAGAGAGAGAGAGAGAGAGAGAGAGAAACCACACGCGCACGCACCUGCGUCGGCCAUCUUGCGCAGGAAAAAUCGCUCGAUGGACGGCCGGCACGGCGGCGCACCAGCCGUCGUUCCGGCGUCUGUCCGCGAGACGACACACGCCGAUGACCACCCGCACGGCCGCGUGAGCGUGAGGCGCCUGGCCGCGGUGCGGGCAAGGAGCAUAAGAUCGGCGGAGGCAGAACGGAGCUGGAGGGAGAAGGAUCUGCCGAUGGGACUAGCUAUGUACUAGCAAUAGUUUAAUGAAAAUGGUGCAUGGCCACGAGCUACCUCCAACCCCAAAGCUACUAAUAUAUUGCCACUUGCACCCAAUUAUCU